UUAACCUACGGGGCGCAGCAGUGGGGAAUAUUGCACAAUGGGGGGAACCCUGAUGCAGCGACGCCGCGUGGGUGAAGAAGCGCCUCGGCGCGUAAAGCCCUGUCAGCAGGGAAGAAAAUGACGGUACCUGAAGAAGAAGCCCCGGCUAACUACGUGCCAGCAGCCGCGGUAAUACGUAGGGGGCAAGCGUUAUCCGGAUUUACUGGGUGUAAAGGGGGCGCAGACGGCGAUGCAAGACAGGAGUGAAAGCC
rnacentral:rRNA from 1 species